rnacentral:tRNA from 1 species
GCCCGCGUGGCACAAUGGAACUGCGUCGGUCUCGAAAACCGAUUUCCGCAAGGAUAUCUAGGUUCAAUUCCUGGCGCGGGCG